rnacentral:lncRNA from 1 species
CUUCUAUCUUCUAUUCAGAGAGUAUGGAAGGUUCCAUACUCUCUGCUUCUAUUAAUUCUUCAACAGAAAAAAAGGAGGUGUUUGCAUCUUGAGGUUUGUUUACCCUAUGACGUAGGUCGGUACAACCUGGCCAGCGAAAUCCGGAAUUCGAAGUAUGAAAACGGACCAUAAUGUCCCAUUUUUCUGCUUAAAUCAACUCAUGAUAUAAUUUCAAGCACUUUUUAUAGAAUGACUUUUUUCCAUAAAUUACACCAUUUCCAAGAAAAUCGAUGAUAAACGUCGCUGUACCGACCUACGUCAUCGAAAAAAUUCCAAGAUGCCCGAAAUGCAAACACCUCCUUUCUUUUCUCUAUGCCUCAACUCUUCCUCCUCUAUGAUGGCGACUCGUCUAGUGUAAAUAUUCAUCAAGAUUUUAUAAUUAAGUGCCUUUAAACUUCCUUUUUUUGUUGUGUCGAAGAAAUAAUUUUAUAUUGAAAUUUUCUUGUACGAUGGAUAAUUAUGAAUGUACUAUCAGUCACCUUACGACAGCAGCGAAAGUAAGUUAAAUCGGAUGUGAUAUUACCAUUGAUUGACAUGGUUAUGUAGUGCCGAUUCCAUGCACAAAAGGUUACUUUGAAACGGUUGUGGAACCGUUACUCACUCCCGGGAAAGAAGGUGAUUUGUGCGAGUGGUUAAAAUCAGUGGGGCUAAUAUCAAGAGAGAUGAAUGUCAACAGCCGGAAUGUGGGGAGGAAACAUUGACUUGGAGCAAGGCUCGGGUGGUCGACAAACAUAACUGGUGUUGCCCAAAAUGCAAGAAAAAAGUACCCAUCAGACAAGGUUCAUUCUUAUCGGAGUUCAAAUGUGAUUUAAGUUAUGCUGUUCGCGGUAUUCAAUCUUGGUGUAAUAGUCUGCCAGUGGAGGAUAUUUGCGAUCAGAAGUCGUUAAAACCAAAUGUAGCAAAACGUAUUUAUUCUCAGUGUUCAGCAGUUGCGGAGUGGUAUAUCAACAAUCACCCGGAAACAUCACAGCUCGGUGGUCCAGAAGCUGUCAUAAUUGUUGAUGUUUUUCCUGAUGGAUGCAUGAUGCUCACACCUCAUAAUAAUAAUUACAGUAAAAGGAUCCUUUGCAUUGCAGAUACAAAUCACAUACCAACGCGAGUAUGGGCCAAGAUUUUGGACUCAAAGGAUAAUUCUAAAAUUGUAGACGCAGUGUUGGCACAUGUAAUGCUCGGGUCAACCAUCGUUACUAGUCAAGGACUUUACUCCGAUCUAUUGCAAGUCAAAGGAAUGACUGAUAUUAUUAGCACAGAUGCUCUUAUGUCUCUGGAUCCUUUAGAUGAUCAGAAAUCACUAAAAAUCUAGGUAAAAGUAGAUCCAACUCUUUUUGUUUCUUUUUCUUUUAUUAAAACGAGCAAUUCAGAGGCUGAUGUUUAGAAUUAUGAUGAAAAACCCAACUCUCAGCUCCUGCUUUGAUGAAAUGUUAUGCUAUAACUGAUUCGAAUGGACUACCAAUCCGCCAGUUGUAUCACCUGUUAAUAGACAAAUGAAAUUGACUGUGGAUCAACUUAUGGAAUCAUGUGUCAAUGGAGCGGGUGAAUUGUUCCACAAUUAACCAUUCCAUUAUCUCACAAUGACAGACUAUUCAAUCAGCUUAUCAUCAGAUUUUAUUGUGGGUCGAUUUUUAUAGACUCGACUGGUCAAUCGAGAGACAAUGGUUUAUAGACAUCUGAUUUGACUAGCCCACCGGCGAACAAAUUAGCUUGUUAAUUGUCAGUUGAUUCGACUGGUUGACGGACAGUUGUUUUGGCUGGUCAAUUGAACCGGUUGUUCAGCUCGCAGUUUGACUAGUCGAUGCAGCUGUUAAUGGACAGAUGAUUCAAGUAUCUAUUAACCAGCUAAAUGCACUAGUUAAAUUGCCUGUGGAUCGACCGAUUAAAUUGUCAUGGAUAGACUGGUCGAUUGUGUGUUCGUUAACCUGUUGAAUGGAGAGAUUUCUAGUGAUGAUUUCACUGAUCGAUAGAGAAGUGAUUUGAUGGAGAGUGGAUACAAUCUUUUCAUUGAGAAACGCAGGGGUAUAGAGAAUGCUCCAUCACGCGCCCGCUCGGGUAAGUGAAAAUGUGGAAAGGCCUUUACAAAUGUGGAAGGAGGGAAUAUCUCAAGGGUCGAAAGUCGAAAAUCAAAGAAAAGAAGAGAGAAAAGGUCCUCUUAUUUGAAGUUGGUGGGAAAUUUUUUUGGAAAACUGAUGAGAAAAAUUUGGAAAUCUGGUCGGUGGGCGUGUAAAAAUGUGGAAGCUUGGAAGAUUCUGCACCUCUGGAGAGAUGAACUGUACGUCGGUCGAGAGAUGAUGCGGUCAGUCUAUCUAGAGACACUUUGAACAUUAAAUCAAGAGAUGAUGGCAUGGAUGAUGAGAUGAUUUAAAUGGUCGGUCUAGAAAUGAUGUGAUCAGUUAAAUUGUCAGUCAAGAAAUCGGUUGGACUGACUGUUAGUAAACUGUUUAAAUCAUUUGUUGAUCGGUCGAUCAACAGCGACCUCAACUGGUCGAUUGAAAGAAGAUUUGAUUGGAAAGUUUUGACUGAUGUAUGGAUAGAAGAUUCAAUUAGUCGAUAGAUAAAAGAUUCUACUGGUUGAUUGACAGGUUAAUGGACAAACUAUGCAGGUGGUUAAUCGGCAGAAAAUUUGACCGGUUGACCCACAGCCCAUUUAGCUGCUCAAUUGUCAGAAAAUUCCAUGGGUUGAUCCAGAGAUGAUUCAGUAAUUUGAUAGAAAGACAAAUGGACGUAUUUCUAUCAAACAGACCUAUGUGGAGGUGAAAAUAUGGGG